rnacentral:rRNA from 1 species
UACAGAGGUCUCAAGCGUUGUUCGGAUUCAUUGGGCGUAAAGGGUGCGUAGGCGGCGCGGUAAGUCGGGUGUGAAAUCUCGGAGCUUAACUCCGAAACUGCAUUCGAUACUGCCGUGCUUGAGGACUGGAGAGGAGACUGGAAUUUACGGUGUAGCGGUGAAAUGCGUAGAUAUCAUGAGGAAGACCAGUGGCGAAGGCGGGUCUCUGGACAGUUCCUGACACUGAGGCGCGAAAGCCAGGGGAGCAAACGGG